rnacentral:rRNA from 1 species
GGUGAACGCUGGCGGCGUGCCUAAUACAUGCAAGUCGAGCGAACGGACGAGAAGCUUGCUUCUCUGAUGUUAGCGGCGGACGGGUGAGUAACACGUGGAUAACCUACCUAUAAGACUGGGAUAACUUCGGGAAACCGGAGCUAAUACUGGAUAAUAUUUUGAACCGCAUGGUUCAAAAGUGAAAGACGGUCUUGCUGUCACUUAUAGAUGGAUCCGCGCUGCAUUAGCUAGUUGGUAAGGUAACGGCUUACCAAGGCAACGAUGCAUAGCCGACCUGAGAGGGUGAUCGGCCACGCUGGAACUGAGACACGGUCCAGACUCCUACGGGAGGCAGCAGUAGGGAAUCUUCCGCAAUGGGCGAAAGACUGACGGAGCAACGCCGCGUGAGUGAUGAAGGUCUUCGGAUCGUAAAACUCUGUUAUUAGGGAAGAACAUAUGUGUAAGUAACUGUGCACAUCUUGACGGUACCUAAUCAGAAAGCCACGGCUAACUACGUG